UUCUUACAUUACAAAACAAAUCUCUAGUAGAUUUUGCAUAGAAAAUCCUGAAUCCAUUAUGGAUUUUGCUAUAAAAUCCCCUCAAGCUUCACUAGAAGAAUUUGCAUUUGUUUUUUGUAGUCAGGUAGAAAUGGCUGAACCUAAGCUUCUACAUGUUGUAUCUCUCCUUAUUUUGGUUCUCUCUUCCAUAGCAAUGGUUCAAUCAUCAAGGUACCUGGAAGAAGACAGCAAGAACGUUGAAGGUGUUGGACAAAACUAUGUUGAACUUGAAAAAUGCACCUCACUAGUUCAAUGUGUAAAACUUUGUACUGGACAGGGACAUAAAGGAGGUUUUUGUAAAUUAGGUCAAGAUUCUCUUAUCUGUCAAUGCUAUGGAUAGUUUAAUUAUUUAAAAAUAAAUUAAUAAAUAAAGGGAUGCAUACUUAUAUGUGCUUCAUUUGAGCUUAAUAAAAUCCUGGUUUUUUUUUUCUU